rnacentral:rRNA from 1 species
AUACGUAGGGAGCAAGCGUUGUCCGGAAUUACUGGGCGUAAAGGGCGCGUAGGCGGGUAUUUAAGUCAGGUGUGAAAACUCCGAGCUCAACUUGGAGAUUGCACUUGAAACUGGGUAUCUUGAGGGCAGGAGAGGAAAGUGGAAUUCCUAGUGUAGCGGUGAAAUGCGUAGAUAUUAGGAGUAACACCAGUGGCGAAGGCGACUUUCUGGACUGUACCUGACGCUGAGGCGCGAAAGCGUGGGUAGCGAACGGGAUUAGAUACCCCGGUAGUCCACGCUGUAAACGAUGAAUACUAGGUGUAGGGGGUAUCGACCCCUUCUGUGCCGCAGUCAACACAAUAAGCAUUCCGCCUGGGGAGUACGGCCGCAAGGUUGAAACUCAAAGGAAUUGACGGGG